rnacentral:lncRNA from 1 species
AACUCCUCCGGGAGAAGUCUUCGAAAUGUUAUUCUCGAAAAGCCGACCUGAUUCCUUAACAAUGAAAGGUAUUGUCCCUCGAGGGAGGGUUUUGCCCCCAUUUACAGAGAGUUGUGUACAGCUCACGGAGAAGGCGCCUCGACCGCAUAUCCACAUUCAACCACCCACCAAAAGGCAACAUGAGCGUCUCUCGCCCUUUGUGGGAUUUGAACACUAAGGGGGGCAAA